GCGAGCGCCUGGCCAUCAGGUGUGGUGAUCCGGAGGGUGCAGGCGGUGUCCGGUUGCGCUGGGUUUAAAGGGUGUGUAGGGGGGCAGUUAAGUCAGUGGUGAAAUCUCCGAGCUGAACUCGGAAACGGCCAUUGUUACUAUUUGGCUUGAAUUUUGUUGAGGUGGGCGGAAUAUGUCAUGUAGCGGUGAAAUGCAUAGAUAGGACAUAGAACACCGAUUGCGAAGGCAGCUCACUAAGCAAGUAUUGACGCUGAGGCACGAAAGCGUGGGGAUCAAACAGGAUUAGAUACCCGUGUAGUC
rnacentral:rRNA from 1 species